GGGAAGGUAAACGUGCAGUCGAACGGACUCAUAUUGAACCUAGUGAUUUAUGAGUUAGUGGCGGACGGGUGAGUAACGCGUGGAUAACCUGCCGUAUACCGGGGGAUAACACUUAGAAAUAGGUGCUAAUACCGCAUAAGCGCACGGCUCCGCAUGGGGCAGUGUGAAAAACUCCGGUGGUAUACGAUGGAUCCGCGUCUGAUUAGCUAGUUGGCGGGGUAACGGCUCACCAAGGCAGCGAUCAGUAGCCGGCCUGAGAGGGUGGACGGCCACAUUGGGACUGAGACACGGCCCAAACUCCUACGGGAGGCAGCAGUGGGGAAUAUUGCACAAUGGGGGAAACCCUGAUGCAGCGACGCCGCGUGAGUGAAGAAGUAUCUCGGUACGUAAAGCUCUAUCAGCAGGGAAGAAAAUGACGGUACCUGACUAAGAAGCCCCGGCUAACUACGUGCCAGCAGCCGCGGUAAUACGUAGGGGGCAAGCGUUAUCCGGAUUUACUGGGUGUAAAGGGAGCGUAGACGGCAGCACAAGUCUGGAGUGAAAUCCCGGGGCUUAACCCCGGAACUGCUUUGGAAACUGUGCGGCUGGAGUGCAGGAGGGGUAAGCGGAAUUCCUAGUGUAGCGGUGAAAUGCGUAGAUAUUAGGAGGAACACCGGUGGCGAGGGCGGCUUACUGGACUGUAACUGACGUUGAGGCUCGAAAGCGUGGGGAGCAAACAGGAUUAGAUACCCUGGUAGUCCACGCCGUANACGAUGAUUACUAGGUGUCGGGGGAUCAAGGUCCUCCGGUGCCGGCGCANACGCAUUAAGUAAUCCACCUGGGGAGUACGUUCGCAAGAAUGAAACUCAAAGGAAUUGACGGGGAUCCGCACAAGCGGUGGAGCAUGUGGUUUAAUUCGAAGNCACGCGAAGAAACUUACCUGGUCCUGACAUCCGGAUGCCGUAUGGGCA
rnacentral:rRNA from 1 species